rnacentral:rRNA from 1 species
AGCAGCCGCGGUAAUUCCAGCUCCAAUAGCGUAUAUUAAAGUUGUUGCAGUUAAAAAGCUCGUAGUUGAAUUUCGGGAUCAAUUAGUCGGUCGUGCCUCUGGUACGUACUGGUUUUAUUGGUUCCUCCCUUCUGACGAAACAUGAUGUCAUUAAUUUGGUGUCGUGGAGAAUCAGGACUGUUACCUUGAAAAAAUUAGAGUGUUUAUAGCAGGCUAACGCUUGAAUACAUUAGCAUGGAAUAAUGAAAUAGGACGUUCGACCCUAUUUUGUUGGUUUCUAGGAUCGACGUAAUGAUUAAUAGGGAUAGUUGGGGGCAUUAGUAUUCAAUUGUCAGAGGUGAAAUUCUUGGAUUUAUUGAAGACUAACUACUGCGAAAGCAUUUGCCAAGGAUGUUUUCAUUAAUCAAGAACGAAAGUUAGGGGAUCGAAGACGAUCAGAUACCGUCGUAGUCUUAACCAUAAACUAUGCCGACUAGGGAUCGGAUGAUGUUAAUUUUUAAUGGCUCAUUCGGUGCCUUAC